GACAGCGGUGAUAGAACGUUGAACGCUCCAGUUCCCAGUAGUUCACUGAAGUUAAGCAACGUUUCGCGUGGUUGGUAUCCGGAUGGUUGACCAUCUGGGUAAUAGUGUACUGGCCUUUCU
rnacentral:rRNA from 1 species